CCCUUAGACGUUCUGGGCCGCACGCGCGCUACACUGACCAGUGCAACAAGCAUCCGUCCUUGGCCGACAGGCUCGGGCAAUCUUUGAACGCUGGUCGUGAUGGGGAUAGACUUUUGCAAUUUUUGGUCUUCAACGAGGAAUUCCUAGUAACGCAAGUCAUCAACUUGCAUUGAUUACGUCCCUGCCCUUUGUACACACCGCCCGUCGCACCUACCGAUUGAAUGGUCCGGUGAAGCCUCCGGAUUGGCGCGCACCUCGGUGCCGCCGAGAAGUUGGCUAAACCUUACCAUUUAGAGGAAGGUGAAGUCGUAACA
rnacentral:rRNA from 1 species